UACCUCCGAUCAAGCAAGAGUACCCGCUGAAUUUAAR
rnacentral:rRNA from 1 species